AUAAAAAUAUAUUUCUGAUUAGAGUGUAUAACAUUUUGUUUGCAGAAAUUAUUUGUUAUAAGGGUGUGGGCAAAUUAGGCCUUUGAUACUUUAUCUUUUUAGAAGUGAAUCUAUUUUUUUAAAAGAAAACACUUUAAAAAGUUUUGAGUGGUUUUUUAAGAGGUGUGUGGAUCUCUGUGGGAAGACGCUAUAAGGAUCAUUAGCUAAGUAAGCAGAUAUGCUAAUUAACAUCAUUUAGUUACCACAAAAACAAUUUUUGUUGUCCAAUAUUAGAUGUCUAAAGAAAACGGCAUUUACAGGGACGUCGGAAUAGCCAUAUAGCCAAAAACAAUCAGCGACAAUGAUUUUAAGCUUAUGUGCGCAGAUGGCAUACAAAUUUAUAUCGAUGUUUUUAUCAAAGUUCCUCUACUACGGGAAUUAGAAGGAAGGAACCCAUCAUUGGAGUUCAGGACAUAAUAGUCGUCGCGUCCGGAAAGGGAGGUGUAGACAAAAGCACCAUCGCGAGUGGGCUUGGCUGAAUUAUUCUAAGACAUCUAACCACAGAAAAAAAUUAAUCUUAAAAAAACAACUUCAGGGGUCUUCAACGUAUUUCUUGCAUAUGUAUGUAACUUAAGUUUUAAUGUUAAAUAGCUGACGAACUAUUAAAGCUAUAACGAAAUAAAAAGUAUAA